rnacentral:rRNA from 1 species
AUUGAACGCUGGCGGCAGGCCUAACACAUGCAAGUCGAGCGGUAGAGAGGUGCUUGCACCUCUUGAGAGCGGCGGACGGGUGAGUAAUGCCUAGGAAUCUGCCUGGUAGUGGGGGAUAACGCUCGGAAACGGACGCUAAUACCGCAUACGUCCUACGGGAGAAAGCAGGGGACCUUCGGGCCUUGCGCUAUCAGAUGAGCCUAGGUCGGAUUAGCUAGUUGGUGAGGUAAUGGCUCACCAAGGCGACGAUCCGUAACUGGUCUGAGAGGAUGAUAGGUCUCACUGGAACUGAGACACGGUCCAGACUCCUACGGGAGGAAGCAGGGGGGAAUAUUGGACAAUGGGCGAAAGCCUGAUCCAGCCAUGCCGCGUGUGUGAAGAAGGUCUUCGGAUUGUAAAGCACUUUAAGUUGGGAGGAAGGGUCGUUACCUAAUACGUGACGAUUUUGACGUUACCGACAGAAUAAGCACCGGCUAACUCUGUGCCAGCCGCCGCAGUAAAAC